GGUCUUCGGAUGCUGACGAGUGGCGAACGGGUGAGUAAUACAUCGGAACGUGCCCGAUCGUGGGGGAUAACUGAGCGAAAGCUUUGCUAAUACCGCAUACGAUCUACGGAUGAAAGCAGGGGACCGCAAGGCCUUGCGCGGACGGAGCGGCCGAUGGCAGAUUACGUAGUUGGUGGGAUAAAAGCUUACCAAGCCGACGAUCUGUAGCUGGUCUGAGAGGACGACCAGCCACACUGGGACUGAGACACGGCCCAGACUCCUACGGGAGGCAGCAGUGGGGAAUUUUGGACAAUGGGCGAAAGCCUGAUCCAGCCAUGCCGCGUGCAGGAUGAAGGCCUUCGGGUUGUAAACUGCUUUUGUACGGAACGAAAAGACUCCUUCUAAUAAAGGGGGUCCAUGACGGUACCGUAAGAAUAAGCACCGGCUAACUACGUG
rnacentral:rRNA from 1 species